rnacentral:lncRNA from 1 species
AGUGUUACUCAUGCUGCCUCCAUCCCUGGUGCCCUCUCUGUAUCUCUGUGCCUUUGUGCACACUGCUUCCUCUGCCUGGAAGCCCUUCUUCCUUUCUCCACACAACACAUCCCUCCUUACUCAUUAAAGUCCCGUACAAAUGCUAAAGGCAGCUGAUCUUGUCAGCAAACUUGGCCACCAAAUAGAAAAUCUCCUUCUAUGCCCACUAGUCAUGGACAAAACUCAAAAGUUGCAUGGGAACUUCAGUUAUCGGGCAAUGUUACCAGGGUUUGGGGCAGAAGGAACAGAUAAAAGGGACAAUUCUAAGGAAGAUGAUUGAAAGACUGACCCCAAUGUGGAGAGGAUGAUUCCAGCACUACUCGUACUGCACUAGCUGUUUCCAUGGUAACCAAAGGGGUCUCCCGGUGGCUGGCUGGGCUGAAUAUCAGGUUCUACAGGCCUGGAAGCAUCUCCCCGCCCACUGUUGAUCCAUCUCCUUCGCUUCACUGAGGAAAGUCAAUGGGAAGCGUCAAAGGAUCCACUGACCUCUGUCGGAUUUCUCUGGAAAGACUCCCAGCAAACAAGAUUCCCUUAUUUGAUGAGCCCUUCAGGACAGGGGUCUGGGGUUGACUCUUCUCCAUGCAGACCUACACAGACUGCUCCCCUAAGCAGCAGCUACAUGAAUUGAGUGGGCCUGGUUCCGGUCCCCUCUCUUGAUCCAGAGUCCUCAGCACAGGUUGGAAGCCUGGGCGCCUCCUUGCCUUGAGAGCAUGAGUGGACACUUCCUGGUGGGAAAGCAGCAUGCCCCUUUUCUAGUGUUAAGGGACACCUCAGCAUGAUUAUUAAAGACAGUUGCAGCAGGAGGUCACAGAGGGUCACAGAGGCAGGGCGCAAAUUACAGUGAGCUGAUUUCACAAAGUACCUGGACUCCAGGCCCAGCUCUGCAGCCUUGCACAAAGCUGGUUCAGCCCUCCAAAGCUGAACAACAGUGCAAAAGAAGGUGCAUUGGUAUCAAGUGAUUUUCCUGGAUCCUUUCAGCACUGAAAGCCUGUAUUAUUAAAGUCAGAUUUUCACAAAAAGGAAUAAAUUGAAAA